rnacentral:lncRNA from 1 species
GGCCCAAAGCUAUACUAUAUAAAGUACUGCUAGGUACAAAAGAAAAAGUCUGUACAGCUUUUAGCAAAACUGCUUUCCCAGAAAAGCAAAUUAAAAUAAUGCAAUCAGCAGAUCAAGGAGACUACAGCUAGACAUCAGAGCUACAACUUCUCAUAUCUGUGUCAGAAAAUCCUAUUUACCCAGAAUAGACUAAAAUUUCAGGACAAAACAGGGACUUUUUAACAUUUCUUACUUUACCCAUUUUAAGUUCUUUUUAUCUCCCC